AUGGAAGUGAUGAUUAUUUCCCCAGAUGAUCGACAAUGAUUAUAAUGUGCGAUUUUUCUCUUUUUGAGAAUCCAAGCCAGUAUUCUGAUCCAU
rfam:Citrus clementina cultivar Clemenules unplaced genomic scaffold scaffold_7, whole genome shotgun sequence.